rnacentral:tRNA from 1 species
GGGGACGUAGCUCAGUGGUAGAGCAUCCGGCUCUUAACCGGGUUGUCGAGGGUUCGAAUCCCUCCGUCCUCACCA